rnacentral:rRNA from 1 species
AGUGAACGCUGGCGGCAGGCCUAAUACAUGCAAGUCGAACGGCAGCACAGCAGAGCUUGCUCUGUGGGUGGCGAGUGGCGGACGGGUGAGGAAUACGUGGGAAUCUGCCCAGUCGUGGGGGAUAACGUAGGGAAACUUACGCUAAUACCGCAUGCGCCCUUCGGGGGAAAGCCGGGGACCUUCGGGCCUGGCGCGAUUGGAUGAGCCCACGUCGGAUUAGCUAGUUGGCGGGGUAAAGGCCCACCAAGGCGACGAUCCGUAGCUGGUCUGAGAGGAUGAUCAGCCACACUGGAACUGAGACACGGUCCAGACUCCUACGGGAGGCAGCAGUAGGGAAUAUUGGACAAUGGGCGCAAGCCUGAUCCAGCCAUGCCGCGUGAGUGAAGAAGGCCCUCGGGUUGUAAAGCUCUUUGUCCGGAAAGAAAAGCGCCGGGUUAAUACCCUGGUGUCCUGACGGUACCGGAAGAAUAAGCACGGCUAACUUCGUGCCAGCAGCCGCGGUAAU